rnacentral:rRNA from 1 species
AUGAUUCCAGAACCUGGAAUCAUACCAGCCGAUGGGUGGUGGUUUAUCGCUCGUUCAGCUAACGGCGGUCAUUUGAUGCUCAUUCGCACGUACCAAAUUGACCAAACCAUUACAUCAAACCACAGGCAGUACAAUGCAUGGGGCGUUCGUGACAUUGAUGGCUAUGGUUGCUUCGUGUUCGAGAAAGAUUGCAGCUCCUUAGGGCCAGGCGUAUUCAACUGGAGGCGGUACCAUAUAACUGGAAUUAACCGAUGCAAGUCCAAGAAGGAUUGGCCGGUGCUGCCGGCUGGCGUCAAGUUCGAUCCCAUGGAUCAGGAGCUGAUCGAGCACCUCGAGGCCAAAGUGAGUGCUGACAGUGCGAGACCUCACCCUCUCAUCAAUUUGUUCAUACCAACCAUCAACAACGAGCACGACAUAUGCUAUACCCAUCUUGAGAAACUUCCAGAUGCAUGCCUGCGCAAUUCCAGGGCGUUCAAAAGGGGCACGUGGAUGCGUCGCAAGAUACAGUCAGAGUGCGGCAUGCAUGUGAUGUGGAACAAGACCGGCAAUACCUUGCCGGUGAUGGUCAAUGGACGGCAGACGGGCAGCAAAAAGGUUCUGGUGCUACACACGAACAAGAACUUCAACCAGCAGAGGACCAACUGGGUGAUGCAUCAGUACCACCUCGGGGACCUGGAGCAAGAGAAGGAGCGGGAGGUGGUCCUCUGCAAGAUUUUCUACCAGACGAACCCUAGGGCCAGGAGUAUAUUGAUUUUUCAGGUCGAGCAAGUUUCAACUGGGUUGUAG